rfam:Echinostoma caproni strain Egypt genome assembly, scaffold: ECPE_scaffold0007993
GCCCGGAUAGCUCAGUCGGUAGAGCGUUAGACUCUUAAUCUGACGGUCCAGGGUUCGAGCCCCUGUUCGGGCG